GACAGAGGGUGCGAACGUUGUUCGGAAUUACUGGGCGUAAAGCGCGUGUAGGCGGCAGCGCAAGUCGGGCGUGAAAUCCCACGGCUCAACCGUGGAAGUGCACUCGAAACUGCGCAGCUAGAGUCCUGGAGAGGAAGGUGGAAUGCUUGGUGUAGAGGUGAGAUUCGUAGAUAUCAAGCGGAACACCGGUGGCGAAGGCGACCUUCUGGACAGUGACUGACGCUGAGACGCGAAAGCGUGGGGAGCAAACAGG
rnacentral:rRNA from 1 species